AACGUAGGGGGCGAGCGUUGCCCGGAUUCACUGGGCGUAAAGCGGGUGUAGGCGGUUCUUUAAGUCGGAUGUGAAAUCCUACGGCUCAACCGUGGAACUGCAUCCGAUACUGGGGAACUUGAGGACGGUAGAGGUCGGUGGAAUUCCAGGUGUACCGGUGAAAUGGGCAGAUAUCUGGAGGAGCACCAGUGGCGAAGGCGGCCGACUGGGCCGAUCCUGACGCUGAGACCCGAAAGCCAGGGUAGCGAACCGG
rnacentral:rRNA from 1 species